rnacentral:rRNA from 1 species
GAAUGCUGACAUAAGUAACGAUAAAGCGGGUGAAAAGCCCGCUCGCCGGAAGACCAAGGGUUCCUGUCCAACGUUAAUCGGGGCAGGGUGAGUCGACCCCUAAGGCGAGGCCGAAAGGCGUAGUCGAUGGGAAACGGGUUAAUAUUCCCGUACUUGGUGUUACUGCGAAGGGGGGACGGAGAAGGCUAUGUUGGCCGGGCGACGGUUGUCCCGGUUUAAGCGUGUAGGUGUGUGUUCCAGGUAAAUCCGGUUCACUUUAACACUGAGGCGUGAUGACGAGGCACUACGGUGCUGAAGCAACAAAUGCCCUGCUUCCAGGAAAAGCCUCUAAGCAUCAGGUAACAUCAAAUCGUACCCCAAACCGACACAGGUGGUCAGGUAGAGAAUACCAAGGCGCUUGAGAGAACUCGGGUGAAGGAACUAGGCAAAAUGGUGCCGUAACUUCGGGAGAAGGCACGCUGACAUGUAGGUGAAGUGAUUUACUCAUGGAGCUGAAGUCAGUCGAAGAUACCAGCUGGCUGCAACUGUUUAUUAAAAACACAGCACUGUGCAAACACGAAAGUGGACGUAUACGGUGUGACGCCUGCCCGGUGCCGGAAGGUUAAUUGAUGGGGUCAGCGCAAGCGAAGCUCCUGAUCGAAGCCCCGGUAAACGGCGGCCGUAACUAUAACGGUCCUAAGGUAGCGAAAUUCCUUGUCGGGUAAGUUCCGACCUGCACGAAUGGCGUAAUGAUGGCCAGGCUGUCUCCACCCGAGACUCAGUGAAAUUGAACUCGCUGUGAAGAUGCAGUGUACCCGCGGCAAGACGGAAAGACCCCGUGAACCUUUACUAUAGCUUGACACUGAACAUUGAGCCUUGAUGUGUAGGAUAGGUGGGAGGCUUUGAAGCGUGGACGCCAGUCUGCGUGGAGCCGACCUUGAAAUACCACCCUUUAAUGUUUGAUGUUCUAACGUGGACCCGUAAUCCGGGUUGCGGACAGUGUCUGGUGGGUAGUUUGACUGGGGCGGUCUCCUCCUAAAGAGUAACGGAGGAGCACGAAGGUUGGCUAAUCCUGGUCGGACAUCAGGAGGUUAGUGCAAUGGCAUAAGCCAGCUUGACUGCGAGCGUGACGGCGCGAGCAGGUGCGAAAGCAGGUCAUAGUGAUCCGGUGGUUCUGAAUGGAAGGGCCAUCGCUCAACGGAUAAAAGGUACUCCGGGGAUAACAGGCUGAUACCGCCCAAGAGUUCAUAUCGACGGCGGUGUUUGGCACCUCGAUGUCGGCUCAUCACAUCCUGGGGCUGAAGUAGGUCCCAAGGGUAUGGCUGUUCGCCAUUUAAAGUGGUACGCGAGCUGGGUUUAGAACGUCGUGAGACAGUUCGGUCCCUAUCUGCCGUGGGCGCUGGAGAACUGAGGGGGGCUGCUCCUAGUACGAGAGGACCGGAGUGGACGCAUCACUGGUGUUCGGGUUGUCAUGCCAAUGGCACUGCCCGGUAGCUAAAUGCGGAAGAGAUAAGUGCUGAAAGCAUCUAAGCACGAAACUUGCCCCGA